rnacentral:lncRNA from 1 species
AUGUUGGUUCUGGGAGUGGUAAAAAGUAGGAAACUGAAUCCAACAGGUAUUGCAGAGAUAUGGGCCAUCAUUGAUAUGGUGCUGAAAAGAACAGCAAGCAGACAGAGGGGAGCAAAGUGUCGUUCCUUUCCCUGCCCCCAGUCUGCCCCAGGGUCCCCAUCGUCAAACCUAAUAGGAAACCAGAUGACAAAUGAUAAACGUAUCGUCACUGUCCCAGCCCCCAAACACAAAGGUGAUUUUAGAAAGACAAAUUUAUAGCUGAGAGAUAAUAAUAGUUUAAUAAUCAACAAAACAGUUGAAGUAAUUAAUGCAAAAAAUCUAAAGGCGGUGCCAAUAGAAGAUUAAAAAUUAAUGAUAGAGAUUGGAACUUUCAAAAAGAUAUGAAACAAUAGGAGAUAGAGAAGGCAAGUAGUGUGAUGAGAAAUAUCCUGGGAAAGAAAAUACAUAGGGUUUCAGAGGGAUUUGAAUCCAGGUCCAUGUGAGUCUAUAUACCAAUAUACCAUGUAUUUUCAGCUAUCUUGUUGUCUACCACAGAGGACUUUGAAUUUUUUAGAAAUAUUUCCCUAUUUGAUUAAGCAGGCAUGCCAUCUAUUUUUGAAGUAGUGGAAAUACCAAACUUACACCAAACUUAAAGAGAAAAUGUUUCUUCACAAAAAUUUUCAGAUGGAAUUGUGUUUAAAAUGGUCUGGUCUGUUUUAGGGAAGGAAAAUGACAGAAGUAAAGAUCUUAUUAUUAACAUUUUCGAAGAGGAAAUAAAAUUAUAGCUCCUAUAAAUGAGAGUGUAAAGGAGGUUGAUAUGAAAGAUAUGUCAAAAAAUAAACUGACUUUAUUUUCAACAGAAGAAAGAGGGGAAUGGGAAACACCCAAUAACUGGCAAAUCCUCAGUCUCCAUAAUUGGACUUUUCUUAAUAAAUUAAAUAAUUAAUGAAUCAGUAAUAUGAGGUAUGAUGCUAUGCCUUGAUCGUUAUGUCUUGUUUAUUUUUUUCUUUUCAAGAAUAAGACAAGCUUUUUCAUUCAUUCAGUUUUAUAAAAUUGAAUUAAAAUAUUCAAUUUUUUCUUGAC